UACGAAGGGGGCUAGCGUUGUUCGGAAUUACUGGGCGUAAAGCGCACGUAGGCGGACGUGUAAGUCAGGGGUGAAAUCCCGGGGCUCAACCCCGGAACUGCCUUUGAUACUGCACAUCUUGAGUCCGGAAGAGGUGAGUGGAAUUCCUAGUGUAGAGGUGAAAUUCGUAGAUAUUAGGAGGAACACCAGUGGCGAAGGCGGCUCACUGGUCCGGUACUGACGCUGAGGUGCGACAGCGUGGGGAGCAAACAGG
rnacentral:rRNA from 1 species